rnacentral:rRNA from 1 species
UUCGUAGGCGGUAAUACAUGUCAGAUGUGAAAUCUUGUGGCUUAACCACAUCAAGCAUCUGAAACUGUAUAACUUGAGUGGAGGAGAGGUAAGUGGAAUUCCUAGUGUAGCGGUGAAAUGCGUAGAUAUUAGGAAGAAUACCAGUAGCGAAGGCGACUUACUGGCCUCUAACUGACGCUGAUGAACGAAAGCGUGGGUAGCAAACA